GACGAACGCUGGCGGCGUGCUUAACACAUGCAAGUCGAACGGAAAGGCCCUGCUUUUGUGGGGUGCUCGAGUGGCGAAAGGGUGAGUAACACGUGAGUAACCUGCCCUUGACUUUGGGAUAACUUCAGGGAACUGGGGCGAAUACCGGGCAGAAGCUCCUGAUGCAUGGGGGGGGUUGGAAAGAUUCGGCGGUUGGGGAUGGACUCGCGGCUUAUCAGCUUGUUGGUGGGGUAGUGGGUUAACAAGGCUUUGAGGGGUAGCCGGCCUGAGAGGGUGACCGGCCACAUAGGGACUGAGAUACGGCCCAGACUCCUACGGGAGGAAGCAGUGGGGAAUAGUGCACAAUGGGCGGAAGCCUGAUGCAGCAACGCCGCGUGCGGGAUGACGGCCUGCGGGUUGGAAACCGCUUUCGCCUGUGACGAAGCGUGAGUGACGGUAAUGGGUAAAGAAGCACCGGCUAACUACGUG
rnacentral:rRNA from 1 species